rnacentral:rRNA from 1 species
UACGAAGGGGGGCUAGCGUUGUUCGGAUUUACUGGGCGUAAAGCGCACGUAGGCGGAUCGAUCAGUCAGGGGUGAAAUCCCAGAGCUCAACUCUGGAACUGCCUUUUGAUACUGUCGAUCUGGAGUAUGGAAGAGGUGAGUGGAAUUCCGAGUGUAGAGGUGAAAUUCGUAGAUAUUCGGAGGAACACCAGUGGCGAAGGCGGCUCACUGGUCCAUUACUGACGCUGAGGUGCGAAAGCGUGGGGAGCAAACAGG